UCAGUAACACGUAGUCAACCUGCCCUGGAGACGCGGACAAACCCGGGAAACUGGGGCCUAUCCGCGAUAGGUGACUUCAUCUGGAAGGAGAGGUCGUCCAAAGGGAAGCGCGAGUAUGCUUCGCGACGUUCGCUCCAGGAUGGGACUGCGGCCGAUCAGGCUGUUGGCGGGGUAAUGGCCCACCAAACCUGUGACCGGUACGGGCUUUGAGAGAAGGAGCCCGGAGAUGGACACUGAGACAAGGGUCCAGGCCCUACGGGGCGCAUCAGGCGCGAAAACUUCGCAAUGCGCGAAAGCGUGACGAGGCUAGUCCGAGUGCUCUCCGCUGAGGAGGGCUUNUCUCGGCUGUAAAUAGGCCGGGGAAUAAGGGGAGGGCAAGUCUGGUGCCA
rnacentral:rRNA from 1 species